rnacentral:piRNA from 1 species
UAAACUUAAAAAAAUCAAAAA